rnacentral:rRNA from 1 species
AGAACGACUCUCGGCAACGGAUAUCUCGGCUCUCGCAUCGAUGAAGAACGUAGCGAAAUGCGAUACUUGGUGUGAAUUGCAGAAUCCCGUGAACCAUCGAGUCUUUGAACGCAAGUUGCGCCCGAGGCCUCCCGGCUGAGGGCACGCCUGUCUGGGCGUCACGC